GUAGUUUCGGGAGAGGGUGAGGGGUGAAUGGUGCUGAGGUGCGAGGAGAGGGAAGGACAGUAAAGAGCAGGAAGCUGGGCCGGGCUGCUGUGCCUGGGAGGAGGGAAGGAGGAAUGAGAAAGCGGUGACGGUCCCUGCCCCCCCUCGCCAGGUGACUGUCCCACCCAUUUAGUUGAAUGUAGCGGCCAGAGAGGCACUCGCGGCAGCCCGUACGGGUGGGACCUCUCGGUGUCCUUCGGGAAACAGGAGGAGCAAGUUCGACUCCAGCGAGGGAAAACGGAGGUUUUUGGCUUUCAUCGCUUUUUCUACAUGUUUUUAGCCUCACCAGAAGUCUUUCAUCUCGGUGGUCCAACUCAGGAUCUCAGCCUCAUUAUUUUCUUACCCUUCUGGAGUGCAUAUGUGCCUUUACAGUUUCUGUUUGCAAACGCUGUCUAGCAUACUAAGAGGAUGUUAGCAAACCUGUUCCAUGGACACUAAAUGGCAGUUGUACAUCUCCCCUCAUCAGUCAUAGUGACAACCAGAAAUGCCCUCCAUAUUUUCCAGUGAUCCCAGUCUUCAAUGCGUCUGUCUCAUAAUUUGUAAACGUUUAUUAUCUUGAAGUCAUUGUUAAUCUGUGGUGAAAAGUAAUUGCUAAAUAGAAAUUCUGAGAAGAAAAAGGCCUCAUCCUUUUCACAUGAUGUAGGAAGGUCUGUUGCAUGAGCAAUGGGAAAUCCAGAAAACAUAGAAGAUGCAUAUGUUGCUGUUAUUCGUCCAAAGAAUACUGCCAGUCUCAAUUCUCGGGAAUACAGAGCUAAGUCAUAUGAAAUUUUGUUGCAUGAAGUUCCCAUUGAAGGAC
rnacentral:lncRNA from 10 species